rnacentral:snRNA from 1 species
AGCUUUGCAUAGUAGCAGUAUUGUGGCCAAUGAGGUUUAUCCAAGGUGUGAUUAUUGCUAAUUGAAACUUUAUAUAUCUUGCAUUAAAUGUUUCUCUGCUAAGCACUAACUGAUGCAAUAUUAUUAAUCUCAGAUCCUCUUUAUGG